rnacentral:misc_RNA from 1 species
AAGUCGUAACAAGGUUUCCGUAGGUGAACCUGCGGAAGGAUCAUUAUCGAGUUUUGAACGGGUUGUCUGCUGGCUCGCAAGGGCAUGUGCACGCCUGUCUCAUCCACUCUCAACUUCUGUGCACUUUUCAUAGGCCGGCUUGUGGGUGCGUUCGCGCACUUGUAGGUGUCGGGCUUAUGCUUUACUACAAACGAUUUAGUUUUAGAAUGUCAUACUUUGCUAUAACGCAAUUUAUAUACAACUUUCAGCAACGGAUCUCUUGGCUCUC